AUUGAACGCUGGCGGCAGGCUUAACACAUGCAAGUCGAGCGGGGUGAUGGUGCUUGCACUAUCACUUAGCGGCGGACGGGUGAGUAAUGCUUAGGAAUCUGCCUAUUAGUGGGGGACAACAUCUCGAAAGGGAUGCUAAUACCGCAUACGUCCUACGCGAGAAAGCAGGGGAUCACUUGUGACCUUGCGCUAAUAGAUGAGUCUAAGGUCGAUUAGCUAGUUGGUGGGGUAAAGGCCUACCAAGGCGACGAUCUGUAGCGGGUCUGAGAGGAUGAUCCGCCACACUGGGACUGAGACACGGCCCAGACUCCUACGGGAGGCAGCAGUGGGGAAUAUUGGACAAUGGGGGGAACCCUGAUCCAGCCAUGCCGCGUGUGUGAAGAAGGCCUUAUGGUUGUAAAGCACUUUAAGCGAGGAGGAGGCUCUUUUGGUUAAUACCCAAGAUGAGUGGACGUUACUCGCAGAAUAAGCACCGGCUAACUCUGUGCCAGCCGCCGCGGUAA
rnacentral:rRNA from 1 species